rnacentral:misc_RNA from 1 species
CUCCGCCACCUUCACCGUCAUGGAACCGGAGACGAUGCGCCGCAUGUUCGCCGGUGAACUUGGUCCUGACCGUGAUUUCUUCAUCUACAGCCGUCAUUUCAAUCCGACGGUGCUCAAUCUCGGUCGCCUCAUGGCGGCGCUUGAGGGAACGGAAGCUGCUUACUGUACGGCUUCCGGCAUGUCGGCGAUAUCAUCGGUGAUGCUACAGCUCUGCAGUUCAGGUGGACACGUGGUGGCUUCGCAGACGCUGUAUGGUGGGACCCAUGCGUUGCUCACGCAUUUUUUACCAAGGGCUUGUAACAUAACGACGUCGUUCGUGGAUAUAAGGGAUUUGGAAAUGGUCAAGGAAGCUAUAGUUGAAGGGAGAACAAAUGUGCUGUAUUUUGAGUCGAUUUCAAAUCCGACGCUGACGGUGGCUAACAUCCCGGAGUUGAGCAGGAUAGCGCAUGAAAAAGGUGUGACAGUGGUGGUGGACAACACUUUUGCUCCGUUGGUGCUGUCGCCGGUGAAGCUGGGGGCUGAUGUUGUUGUUCAUAGUAUUUCCAAGUACAUUAGCGGUGCAGCUGA